rnacentral:rRNA from 1 species
GACGAACGCUGGCGGCGUGCUUAACACAUGCAAGUCGAACGGUAAGGCCCUUCGGGGUACACGAGUGGCGAACGGGUGAGUAACACGUGGGUGAUCUGCCCUGCACUUCGGGAUAAGCCUGGGAAACUGGGUCUAAUACCGGAUAGGACCCUGGGAUGCAUGUCCUGGGGUGGAAAGCUUUUGCGGUGUGGGAUGGGCCCGCGGCCUAUCAGCUUGUUGGUGGGGUGAUGGCCUACCAAGGCGACGACGGGUAGCCGGCCUGGGAGGGUGACCGGCCACACUGGGACUGGGAUACGGCCCAGACUCCUACGGGAGGCAGCAGUGGGGAAGAUUGCACAAUGGGCGCAAGCCUGAUGCAGCGACGCCGCGUGAGGGAUGACGGCCUUCGGGUUGUAAACCUCUUUCAGCACCGACGAAGCGCAAGUGACGGUAGGUGCAGAAGAAGGACCGGCCAACUACGUGCCAGCCGCCGCGGUAA